CUUAGGCGAGGGGGUGAGGCAGCCCCGUCCGAGUCUCUCUUGCCACCACGGACCACCAAUUCUGCCCAGGACGAUUGAUGGUUUGGUGUCGAGCAGGAAGAAAGCUAUGGGCAGGUGGGUGGGUCCCACAGGGCUUGUGUCCUGGAUGGCUGUACUGAGAGAGGCAAUCCGUUGGGACUGCCCGGAAGCCACGUCCAUGAAUCUCAACAACAACAAGUCUUUCUUCUGGAGUUCAUCAGAAAGCCAUUGAAUAUCCUCUUUAAGGGGUUGUUGUGUGUACCUGUACAAGGUGGAGCUACAAACAUCUGCCACUUAUCAUGACAGCGAAGAUCUCCUCACGGUCCACAAGCUGUCCGUUCUGUAUGUGCUCUGAAAACCCUCCAGUGUUUGUACUCAGCC